rfam:Pseudomonas batumici strain TCM B-321 Contig_58, whole genome shotgun sequence.
CUUUAUGGUGGCUGUGCGCAGGGCGCCCUCGGGCGCGCCGGUUCCUUAGCUCGCCGGUCGACUAACCUGCGUACAGCUGCCACCCCC